UCCUUCCACCAAUCACAUCGCUGUGCUUCUGUGACAACUGAACACAACUGGAAGUGAAAAACAACUCCUCAUUCAAAGGGGUUUAACGUUCCUUGUAGAUUCUGGAUAUUGGGCCUUUGUCAGAUGCAUAGAUUGCAAAAAUUUUCUCCCACUCUGCCAAAAGAGGAGUACAUCUGAACAGCAAUAGAGCAGAGGAAGAAACCCUAAGUCAUGUUGUAGCCUAAUACCAUGGAGUAGCACAGACUUUGAAACCAGGCAGAACCAGAACUUGAACAGAUCUCUUCAGAACCGGGAAAACAUCUCCUUUUGUUGACAUCACAUGAAGGUUGAAGUCCGCUGUCAGGACCAUGUUUAAGGAUCUCAAUUGCCAUGUGGAUAAGUCUUUACAGUAAUAAAGCGAGAAAUAGUAAUAAAGCGAGAUCUUCAAGAAUUCUUAAAAGGAGUUUUGAGGAAUCAAGGAAACUACAAGGAGAAGCAACACUGUAAAUAAAUAUAUGGAAGUUGAAAAUGGAUCUUCAACAAGUGAUAAACAAUCCAGAAACACGGUACUAAA
rnacentral:lncRNA from 1 species